rnacentral:rRNA from 1 species
CAAUAGCGUAUAUUAAAGUUGUUGCAGUUAAAAAGCUCGUAGUUGAAUUUCUGGCGGGCGCGCCGGUCUUCCAAGUGUUGUACUGGGCGCAGUCCGCCAUCCUUGUGGAGAGGGCUCGCAUUGAGUUGCGUGUCGGAUCUGCAUCAUUUACUGUGAAAAAAUUAGAGUGUUUAAAGCAGGCUGUCGCUUGAAUACAUUAGCAUGGAAUAAUAAGAUAGGACUUCGGUCUAUUUUGUUGGUUGCGAACCGAGGUAAUGAUUAAUAGGGAUAGUUGGGGGUAUUCAUAUUUAAUUGUCAGAGGUGAAAUUCUUGGAUUUAUGGAAGAUGAACAACUGCGAAAGCAUUUACCAAGGAUGUUUUCAUUAA